rnacentral:rRNA from 1 species
AGAGUUUGAUCAUGGCUCAGAACGAACGCUGGCGGCAGGCCUCAAACAUGCAAGUCUAGGGGGUGUAGCAAUACAUCACCGGCGGACGGGUGCGUAACACGUGGGAAUAUACCUUUUGGUUCGGAACAACGCAGGGAAACUUGCGCUAAUACCGAAUGUGCCCUUACGGGGAAAGAUUUAUCGCCAAAGGAUUAGCCCGCGUCCGAUUAGCUAGUUGGUGAGGUAAUGGCUCACCAAGGCUCCGAUCGGUAGCUGUUCUGAGAGGAAGAUCAGCCACACUGGGACUGAGACACGGCCCAGACUCCUACGGGAGGCAGCAGUUGGGAAUCUUGGACAAUGGGGGAAACCCUGAUCCAGCCAUGCCGCGUGAGUGAUGAAGGCCUUCGGGUUGUAAAACUCUUUCGACGGGGACGAUAAUGACGGUACCCGUAGAAGAAGCUCCGGCUAACUUCGUGCCAGCAGCCGCGGUAAUACGAAGGGGGCUAGCGUUGUUCGGAAUUACUGGGCGUAAAGCGCGCGCAGGCGGUCUUCCAAGUCAGUGGUGAAAGCCCGGAGCUCAACUCCGGAACUGCCAUUGAAACUGUAAGACUUGAGGAUGAGAGAGGUGAGUGGAAUUCCCAGUGUAGAGGUGAAAUUCGUAGAUAUUGGGAAGAGCACCGGUGGCGAAGGCGGCUCACUGGCUCAUAUCUGACGCUCAGGCGCGACAGCGUGGGGAUCAAACAGGAUUAGAUACCCUAGUAGUCC